rnacentral:rRNA from 1 species
UACGAAGGGGGCUAGCGUUACUCGGAUUGACUGGGCGUAAAGGGCGCGUAGGCGGUUUGUACAGUCAGACGUGAAAUUCCUGGGCUCAACCUGGGGGCUGCGUUUGAUACGUGCGGACUUGAGUUCGGAAGAGGGUCGUGGAAUUCCCAGUGUAGAGGUGAAAUUCGUAGAUAUUGGGAAGAAAACCGGUGGCGAAGGCGGCGACCUGGUCCGAUACUGACGCUGAGGCGCGAAAGCGUGGGGAGCAAACAGG